CACUGAGGCUGUCGCUGACCCCAUUGAUGGGGUUGUGCACGCCUGAAGUGUUCUCAUCCAUCUCACCCCUUUGUGCAUCACCGCGUGGGCCUUCCUUUAAAAAGGGUUGGCUUGCGUUUUUCCACACAAACACAACUUAGUUUUCUGAAUGUAUCUUCUUAUUUUGCGGUCACACGCAAUCAGUACAACUUUCAACAACGGAUCUCUUGGCUCUCGCAUCGAUGAAGAACGCAGCGAAAUGCGAUACGUAAUGUGAAUUGCAGAAUUCAGUGAAUCAUCGAAUCUUUGAACGCACCUUGCGCCCCUUGGUAUUCCGAGGGGCACACCCGUUUGAGUGUCGUGAAAUUCUCAACCUCCUUGGUUUUUUUUUUAAAGACCAGGGAAGGCUUGGACUUUGGAGGCUUCUGCUGGCCCAGAAAACUUGGGUCAGCUCACUCUUAAAUGGAUUAGCAGGGUCACUCUUUGCCGAUCCUCGACGUGAUAAGAUGUUUCUACGUCUUGGGCUCAGCUCUGUUUAUUGGGACCUGCUCCUAACCGUCUCAUUUGGAGACAAAAAGGGUGUUCGAAAAGUCUGCUUUUUGAAUGCCCCAAUGAAACU
rnacentral:rRNA from 1 species